GGAUGUUGAUGUCUCUGGCUAAGCCAACAUUUAUUGCCAUUCUAAAUUGGCCAGAGUCAACCAUGUUGUUGUGGGCCUGGAGUCACAUAUCAGCCAGACCAGGUGCUGCCAGGCCAGCUGAGCUUUAAUUUUGGAACUGAGAAUUGGAAAUUUGGCACAAAAACCAUCUCCAGAUAAGGAAAUGAACAGAUGUUUUCACAUGCUAAAGCCACAAUACAUGCAUGGACGUCGAGCAGCCACAGCUCUCUGCUUUUGUGUUGGACUAAUCUUGCCUUUGCAAAAGAAGGUCAAUAUCGGAAAAGACGUAUGAUGGCUGUAUCCAAUAUUACCUAUUUAAUGUAUGACCCAAUGUCAAGAUUUCACACAUAUAAUGAAGUGGGAGACAAGAUAGUUUGUUUAAGUUUUUUUUCCCAUGAUUGUGAAAAGGAUUCUCGUUUGUCAAUCAAAGUGAGUAGCAUACAAUUGUGCUGAUCUUUUUUGUUUGCCAGCGAAAACUUCCUGAUCUCUGUUAUAGAUGUUGUUUUGCCAAUUGAAUAGAUAACUUCUUAAUAUAAUAACUCAAUUUAUCUCCUAUACACUGAGUUUCCAUCAUCUGUAGCCAUACAAUGUAUUUAUUUGACAUUCCUAUUUACUGUUACCAGUAAAGAAUUUGUGAAUUUAUUGCAAUUAUGGUUUGAGAUUUUUGCGGUUAUAAACAUCAGGGUCUCUUCCCAAAGACUUCACCUUCAGUUUCUCCAUUUUAAGCUCUCCAUCAAAUCUUUGUGUAGAAGUGCUCAUAAUUUCAGCUUGGAAGAAACAAUGAUAGACUUUAGAGAUGUUGUCUCAGAUGGGCUAAAGGACUUAACGAUAAUGAUGAUAUUCGACAGCUGCAUGGGAAAAUAGAUAGUACAGGAUGGAGCAAUAGGCUGGGAAAGUUUAGGAUGAUAUUUUGGAAGCUGCAUGACCUUGAAUGAGUCCAAUGAGCAUUCUUUAUGGGCCUAAGAUGGCAUCUGCAGUUUAUUUUCUCUGUAGUUGUGUUUUCUAAACCAAUCAGCAGUUUUGUCUAUUGUAUUUGCUGUUUUCUGUGCUGGCUGUUUGUCACACUAUAUAAUAGAGACAGAGUUUCAUUCCAAGCCACUAGACUUCAUCUUGGCUUGAAAUUGUGAAUGGGUCCAGGAACAGACUUAAGCACCAGAUCAGCCAUUGAUUGAGAGAGCCCCUGACGGGCAGAGGAGCGUGAGACUUGGUGCUUUUUCUAGAAGGAGGUGAGACUUGAAAAUUUUCUUUUCUCUUCCAUUUAUUGU